UGAAGGAAGCUAAUUUUAAUAUAGUCUACUAGUAUCAGAAUUCACUUGCAGUAAUGCAUGCAUCGCUUCAACAACACAUACAUUAGUUAAGGCAAAUGUUCCAACCGCAUUAUGCUAGGUAAUUUUGUUACAAGAUAGACACAUCAUUAACUGAACAGCCAUAGUAAAUCUCACACUUAUACAUCAAACAUUGAGCACACAACUCGAGUACACAACAACAGUCUUUUUUUUUGGUUGGAAUCUGCAUAGAUCUUUACUGCCACCAGCAAACCUGAAAAAUAAGAGUUGAACUUUUUUAUACAUAAUACACUAAAACGAGUUUAACAACAAUCUAUGCAAAUAGAUACAGUAGUGCAUGCCAUCUUUAUUAGCAAAAAAAUAACAUAAUUAUUUUUCAAACUAGCUCAUUUCUUAUUUCCCGUCGUACUACACAAAUAAUUAUGCAUACAACAAAAAGUUAAUUUGGAGGACGGGUGCAUUGAAGCCCGAUAUUUGGAAUAGUGUCAAAAUUCUAUUUUGAAGUUUCAAAAUGUUCUGAAAACAAAUCAACAUGGUUAUAUGGAUGUAUAUUACACAUGUGUAAAUUUUGAUGCUGAAAUAAGUAACCAUGUGAGUUACACAAAAAUGACAAAAUCGUUUUUUUUUUUGGAAAGAUGAACUGAGCAUGCAUUAUUAACUAUUUGAAAAUCACCAUUUUGUCAUUUUUCUAUAGCUCACAGGUUUAUUUGUUUCGUCACCAAACUUUACACAACUGUAAUAUACAUCCAUAUGAUCACGUAGAAUUGUUUUCGAGUUUUUUUGGAACUUUAAAUGUGAUUUUAAAAGUAUUUAAAAUAAGGUCCUUGAAUAAUUAAUCUAGUAGCAAUGGCAAACACAUACAUUAAUCAAGGAUUUUUCUCUCACUCACUCACACUACUAGCACCACACACACAAUAAUUAAUCUACAAAAUUUGCAGCAGCGCGUACAAGCCCUACACACCGCUCGAGUUUUCUCUUUGAUAACUUCCAUCUAAACACAAUUUUCAAUUCAGAUACGUAUCAUCAUCUAAAUUCCAUCUAGACAGUAGGGGUAGCAGUUUAUAGAUAAAUAACAAUUUUCAUAGUCAGCAGAGCAUGCCAUGGUUACACAGAGCACACACGCCAGGCAGCAAGCCAGCAACACAUGAAUAGUCAUAGAUGUGUACUAUAACAGUAACACACAAUAAUUAUGAGCAAAUGAAUUAUACCUCGCAAUUUCUUCAAGACCAAAAUCUGGACAGUACGACUCAGGGGAAAUCAGCAGCUGUAGGCAAGAUGCCACUACCUCGUUUCCUCUCCUACUUCCUUCAAAUGAUGUGCUGAUCUUGGAGGAGACAGCCCAAUGAGCCACGUCCUUGUCCCCUCCUCUGUUUGCUUGGCAAACCUAGCCCAAUCUAGAGAAGAGGGAACUACUAGAUGAGCCACGGGACAAAGAAGCACCGGGCCAAAGCACAGAAGACGAACACUACAGAUGGUCAUACCUUGGGAUUAGAUCUAGUAUGACAUCGAUGGGGAAUGCUCGGAGGACCGGCACUGUUGGCCGGAGACGAAUCAGAAGCGCCGCUCGCUGGCCCUGCCCGGGACGCCGCUCGCCGGCCCUGCCCGGAACGCCGCUCGCCGGCCCUGCCCGAAACGCUCGGAGACUCGCACGCUUGGCCGGACACAACCGCCGGAGAGGAAUUAACCGCGCCGCUCGCCCCUCGCCAGCCCAGCGCGGAACGAGGGGGUCCUGCCGGAGGGAAGCAUCAUCUCCCAACAGGUCUCCUAACCCAUAAAAGAAUUUCGAAUCUGGAUGAUUGAUUUUUCCUUUCGAAUCGGGAUGAUACCUCCAUGGGGAAAGGCACGGGACGGCUCAGCCGCCAUGGGAUGUUUCUGUACCUAAGUUACAGGAUUCUUUCGGGGUUCAAUUUGCAAAUUGUACCUCUUUCCAUCUCACAGAGUACGCAUCCAAUCCAACGGCACACGUUUGGGUUUCCAUGUUUCCUCUGAAUGUAUGGUUUCCACUAGAUAUAUUCUCUCACAUAAAUUAGAGUAGCUGAUCGGUCCAUCAGGUGGAUGGGUGUACAUUGGCCUCCUGUUACAAAUAUGAGGUUAUGUUCAGAUCCACAUUCUAUGAAUACAAAGCUUGGAUUUUGGAACGAGAGGACAAUUCGCUUGAAGCCACUGAAUAUAUAGCUUUUGAGGACUUCGGUUUAGAAGCCUAAAGUAUGUUCCAAUCAUAAACAGUUUUCAUUCCAAAAAGGAUUUCAAACUACAGCUCAUGUAUUCUCUGAUGAAAGGUUUGAAACAAUUCGUUUUAAGAAAAAAUAAUAUGUAGUUAUCACAAUUUAACAGAUUGUCUGGAUUAAUCCAUAGCAAUUUCCUUGCAUGUAUUCAGGCUACCUUAACACACGCUGAAUCAGACUUUCAAAUUCAGACUUAGAGGGAUGUGAGUACAGACUUGGCACUUGGCAGUAUAGAAAUUCCCUGGACAACUACACACGCUGAAUCAGGUAUUCUAGAUCCUGAACACAAAACAUAAAUUAUCUAAUGCUGCAAAUUUGAGCUGAAGAAAUUGCAAUUGCUGAAGAUUGAAAUGAAACCAGAAAUUUAUACCAUAUAGGGUUUGCAGUAGAUUAUUCCAUGAGAGGGAGGUACAGGUGCGGCGGUGUCGACGGACUGGUGGACGAGCGAGUCGGAGCGCCGGUGUAGAAGAGCGGCUGUG
rnacentral:lncRNA from 1 species